rnacentral:rRNA from 1 species
UUAAGUUAUUAAGGGCGCACGGUGGAUGCCUUGGCACUAGAAGCCGAUGAAGGACGUUACUAACGACGAUAUGCUUUGGGGAGCUGUAAGUAAGCUUUGAUCCAGAGAUUUCCGAAUGGGGAAACCCAGCAUGAGUUAUGUCAUGUUAUCGAUAUGUGAAUACAUAGCAUAUCAGAAGGCACACCCGGAGAACUGAAACAUCUUAGUACCCGGAGGAAGAGAAAGAAAAUUCGAUUCCCUUAGUAGCGGCGAGCGAAACGGGAAGAGCCCAAACCAACAAGCUUGCUUGUUGGGGUUGUAGGACACUCUGUACGGAGUUACAAAGGACGACAUUAGACGAAUCAUCUGGAAAGAUGAAUCAAAGAAGGUAAUAAUCCUGUAGUCGAAAAUGUUGUCUCUCUUGAGUGGAUCCUGAGUACGACGGAGCACGUGAAAUUCCGUCGGAAUCUGGGAGGACCAUCUCCUAAGGCUAAAUACUCUCUAGUGACCGAUAGUGAACCAGUACCGUGAGGGAAAGGUGAAAAGCACCCCGGAAGGGGAGUGAAAUAGAACCUGAAACCGUGUGCUUACAAGUAGUCAGAGCCCGUUAAUGGGUGAUGGCGUGCCUUUUGUAGAAUGAACCGGCGAGUUACGAUUUGAUGCAAGGUUAAGCAGUAAAUGUGGAGCCGUAGCGAAAGCGAGUCUGAAUAGGGCGUUUAGUAUUUGGUCGUAGACCCGAAACCAGGUGAUCUACCCUUGGUCAGGUUGAAGUUCAGGUAACACUGAAUGGAGGACCGAACCGACUUACGUUGAAAAGUGAGCGGAUGAACUGAGGGUAGCGGAGAAAUUCCAAUCGAACCUGGAGAUAGCUGGUUCUCUCCGAAAUAGCUUUAGGGCUAGCCUCAAGUGAUGAUUAUUGGAGGUAGAGCACUGUUUGGACGAGGGGCCCCUCUCGGGUUACCGAAUUCAGACAAACUCCGAAUGCCAAUUAAUUUAACUUGGGAGUCAGAACAUGGGUGAUAAGGUCCGUGUUCGAAAGGGAAACAGCCCAGACCACCAGCUAAGGUCCCAAAAUAUAUGUUAAGUGGAAAAGGAUGUGGCGUUGCCCAGACAACUAGGAUGUUGGCUUAGAAGCAGCCAUCAUUUAAAGAGUGCGUAAUAGCUCACUAGUCGAGUGACACUGCGCCGAAAAUGUACCGGGGCUAAACAUAUUACCGAAGCUGUGGAUUGUCCUUUGGACAAUGGUAGGAGAGCGUUCUAAGGGCGUUGAAGCAUGAUCGUAAGGACAUGUGGAGCGCUUAGAAGUGAGAAUGCCGGUGUGAGUAGCGAAAGACGGGUGAGAAUCCCGUCCACCGAUUGACUAAGGUUUCCAGAGGAAGGCUCGUCCGCUCUGGGUUAGUCGGGUCCUAAGCUGAGGCCGACAGGCGUAGGCGAUGGAUAACAGGUUGAUAUUCCUGUACCACCUAUAAUCGUUUUAAUCGAUGGGGGGACGCAGUAGGAUAGGCGAAGCGUGCGAUUGGAUUGCACGUCUAAGCAGUAAGGCUGAGUAUUAGGCAAAUCCGGUACUCGUUAAGGCUGAGCUGUGAUGGGGAGAAGACAUUGUGUCUUCGAGUCGUUGAUUUCACACUGCCGAGAAAAGCCUCUAGAUAGAAAAUAGGUGCCCGUACCGCAAACCGACACAGGUAGUCAAGAUGAGAAUUCUAAGGUGAGCGAGCGAACUCUCGUUAAGGAACUCGGCAAAAUGACCCCGUAACUUCGGGAGAAGGGGUGCUCUUUAGGGUUAACGCCCAGAAGAGCCGCAGUGAAUAGGCCCAAGCGACUGUUUAUCAAAAACACAGGUCUCUGCUAAACCGUAAGGUGAUGUAUAGGGGCUGACGCCUGCCCGGUGCUGGAAGGUUAAGAGGAGUGGUUAGCUUCUGCGAAGCUACGAAUCGAAGCCCCAGUAAACGGCGGCCGUAACUAUAACGGUCCUAAGGUAGCGAAAUUCCUUGUCGGGUAAGUUCCGACCCGCACGAAAGGCGUAACGAUUUGGGCACUGUCUCAACGAGAGACUCGGUGAAAUCAUAGUACCUGUGAAGAUGCAGGUUACCCGCGACAGGACGGAAAGACCCCGUGGAGCUUUACUGUAGCCUGAUAUUGAAAUUCGGCACAGCUUGUACAGGAUAGGUAGGAGCCUUUGAAACGUGAGCGCUAGCUUACGUGGAGGCGCUGGUGGGAUACUACCCUAGCUGUGUUGGCUUUCUAACCCGCACCACUUAUCGUGGUGGGAGACAGUGUCAGGCGGGCAGUUUGACUGGGGCGGUCGCCUCCUAAAAGGUAACGGAGGCGCUCAAAGGUUCCCUCAGAAUGGUUGGAAAUCAUUCAUAGAGUGUAAAGGCAUAAGGGAGCUUGACUGCGAGACCUACAAGUCGAGCAGGGUCGAAAGACGGACUUAGUGAUCCGGUGGUUCCGCAUGGAAGGGCCAUCGCUCAACGGAUAAAAGCUACCCCGGGGAUAACAGGCUUAUCUCCCCCAAGAGUUCACAUCGACGGGGAGGUUUGGCACCUCGAUGUCGGCUCAUGGCAUCCUGGGGCUGUAGUCGGUCCCAAGGGUUGGGCUGUUCGCCCAUUAAAGCGGUACGCGAGCUGGGUUCAGAACGUCGUGAGACAGUUCGGUCCCUAUCCGUCGUGGGCGUAGGAAAUUUGAGAGGAGCUGUCCUUAGUACGAGAGGACCGGGAUGGACAUACCUCUGGUGUACCAGUUGUCGUGCCAACGGCAUAGCUGGGUAGCUAUGUGUGGACGGGAUAAGUGCUGAAAGCAUCUAAGCAUGAAGCCCCCCUCAAGAUGAGAUUUCCCAACUUCGGUUAUAAGAUCCCUCAAAGAUGAUGAGGUUAAUAGGUUCGAGGUGGAAGCAUGGUGACAUGUGGAGCUGACGAAUACUAAUCGAUCGAAGACUUAAUCAA